rnacentral:rRNA from 1 species
UCGGAAUUACUGGGCGUAAAGCGCACGUAGGCGGCUUUGUAAGUUAGAGGUGAAAGCCCGGGGCUCAACCCCGGAAUUGCCUUUAAGACUGCAUCGCUUGAAUCCAGGAGAGGUGAGUGGAAUUCCGAGUGUAGAGGUGAAAUUCGUAGAUAUUCGGAAGAACACCAGUGGCGAAGGCGGCUCACUGGACUGGUAUUGACGCUGAGGUGCGAAAGCGUGGGGAGCAAACAGG